UGUCACCUGCCAAGCGUCUAAUGCUUCAUAGUGAUUUUAAUUCCAGCAGCAUGGGAUGGGAACAGAGCACAGGGCAGUGAGUUUAUCUCCCUCAGAGACAGAUGACACCCAACCCUUCUUCAUUUCUGAGGACAGCGUGGUUGGCAGAGGAGCACCCAGAAGGGCACAGCUGGUAUUUUCAGAGGGUUUCCUCUGGACUUGGUCUGUCUUCUGCAGUGGGGAACCAUGAAGGCGCCUACCUUAACGCCCAGGAGGGGUGCAGACAGGGUGGACUCUGUCCAGAGGGGCUCCCAGGCCAAGGCACCUCCUCUGUCCCAGGACCCCGAACUUGCUCCGGCCUGCCGAUGAAGGCAUUUAAUUACCAAGGAUCUUCAGUCUUGCUUUGUUACUCACUUUUUCUCCAAAAUAUAUUCCUGGAAGGAGAAGGCAGGUGAACUGGAGUUCUAAGGAGGUUGUGUCCCUGAGGCCAACUCUGGCCCGUCUGUGCAGAGCCCAUGGGGUCAGUGGUUGCUGGAGGAUGGAGUCCAGAUACAACAGAUACACAAGAGCUCACAGACGUGAACAACCGCAAGGAUGCAGGUCAUGCCCCUGCACCUACCACUCUCCGUCCUGGCUCUGUGAAUUGGCCUCUCCUUCCUGUGAGCCUCAUGAAGGUGGAAUCCUGCCACAGCUGCCCUUACGUGUUGGGCCUUUUUGCUCCACAUGUGGAGUGGAAAAGGUUUAUCCCUGCUGUCACCUGCUGUCUCGUGCCUGAAUACUUCCAUGUUGUGUGCUGACCACAUGCUGUUUAUCCAUUCACCCACUGGUGGACCCCCGGGCUCUCUCCACCUUUUGGUUAUCGUGGCGAAUGCUGCUGUGAACAUGGGGAUACCUUUUUGAGUCCCUGGGCUCGAUUCUUUUGGACAUGUGCCAAGGAAGGAGUGGGAUGGCCGGGUCGACAGAUGACUCUGCCUGUCUUCUGCAGAGGCUGCCGUUUUCCAUCUUCACCAGCAAAGCGCGAUGGCUCCAAUGUCUCCCCGUCCUCACCAAUGCGUGCAAUUGUCUGUUUUGCUGAUGAACAUCAUCCUGGUAGGUGCGAAGUGGUAUUUCUUUGAGACUGUGAUUUGCAUAACAACUACUGAGGCAGAACAUCUUUUCAGUAUAGUCAUGAAAGUCAUGUAAGUCAUGUCACUUAAUGAAAGGGACACAUUGUGACAAAUGCGUCCUCAAGGGAUUUUCUCCUUGUCUGAACAUCACAGUCCUUGUCUGGACUUACACAAACCUGCAUGGCACAACCUACUCCAUACCUAAGCAAUGUGGCACAGCCUGGUGCUCCCAGGGUACACACCUGUGCAGCGUGGACUGUACUGAAUGCUGCAGGCAAUUCAGA
rnacentral:lncRNA from 10 species